rnacentral:lncRNA from 1 species
AGCUCCACCUCGCUCUAAGCUCCACCUGACUCUCGAAACUCCACCUCGCACUGGGCUCCCUACCAGGUAAUAAUGUCCUCUGCUCCUCUUCUUUUCCUCCAGCACAAUCCUAUCGCCGCAUAGCACCCUCAUGAUUCUUCCAUCAGUUACCGUCCUGUAGCUUCUCGAAUCCAGUCUGCUAAGUGAGAUAAGAUUCUGCCUA